rnacentral:lncRNA from 7 species
AAUUUCUCAGUUGCAGAGGCAGAGAGGAAGAAAGGUUGCUGGUUUGUUCCAGUCUACAGCUGAGAGAGGCUUUCCCACUCAAUCUCUUCUUUUAUGCCAUUUCUUGGAUUUGCAGGUCUCUCUUCUGUCUCCCACUCUUCAAACUUUCUGGACCUCUACACUCUACUUGGUAUUUUCUCAAUUGUUUGUGUGUUAAUGCUGCCGAGAGGGAAAAAUUCCUAAAAGAAGGAGAGGCAAUUUGACUGUGCUGUUUUGUGCUUGCACCUGGGUGACUGGUGUCACCUUUGACACACUAUUGCCACAUUUUAUUAAAGAAAAUAUAUCAGAGUUCUGGAUGAGUCAUUUUCUGCGGAGGAAAGCUGGAUUUAUGGUUUUGAAGAUCCAGCUUUGAACAGGCAGAAGUAUUUUCUUAUUAAUUCAGCCUGAUGAAAGUGAUUGGUGUGCAGAAGCUUAACUAAGGCUGACCAUCCAGCAAGUGGGUAAACAAAAAGCCACAAGCAGUCCUGGAAAAUGGAAACUCUGCCCCUUUAUCUGUUACAAAGCUGCACCAGUCUGCUGAGUGCAAAAAAUGCAUUGUUCAGUAAACCCAGCGAAGACCAUAAGAAGUAUCUUUGGGCCGACAUCCGUGCAUUCAGUUUCCAAGAUCAAACUUUAUAUGCAUGUGUUAAAGACAGUUUCAACUCACAGCAACUCAAUACUUUUAUAUCAAAUUUAGUUGAUUUUGUAUUUGUGAUCUUCGCUAAUGUACCAGGAAAAUUAUAUUUGUAAAAGCACAGGCGUAAAGAAUUACAAAAUUGUUCUUUGUCCAUUGUAUUAUCUUGCAAUACAAUGGUAACAUGCUCAAUAUUCACUUGGCCCAGAAUAUGAACUCUUAGAGAUCCACAUUCCUCAUUUACAGGCAGGACUCACCAGUUAAGAAGACUCUCCUUAACCUAUGGGUGUGGGUAACCAGAGCUCUAACAGAGUACCUAUUUAUUUUAAUUAAUUGUUACUGUUACUUUCAAUAACUGAACAUCUGAGGAAUGAAGUGAGCAGUUGAUCCCAAAGCAACAAUGAAAGAAUGAACUGGAUGAUUAGAGGCAGGGCCCCAGAAAGUGAGUACAGCCCAGCAUCCUGUGCCAAAAGAAAGCACUUCAAGCACAUUCAAGUGCACUACAAGCUCCUGGGGGGAUUAGAACUAGUGGUACUGGAACAAGAGAGACAAAUAAUGCACAUAUCAAAGUAAGUAGUUACACUGUGUACAGGAAGUAUUAAAAUAUAACACAAAGAAUAAGAAAUGGAAGACAAUUCAAACCACUGUUGUCAGCACCAAAAAAGCCAACUUUUAUUUGUGAAGUGUAUUUCAGGAAAGUGGAAGAGAAAAGAAUAUAGAAAGCAGUAUAUGUAAGGAAAGAUGGAGGGUGAAGUUUGGGGUUAAGGCUCAGAAGUUUUUAAACAAAGUGUUUACUAAAUGAUGGAAUACUGUGUGAUCCACUUACAAAUAGGAGCUGAGCUUUUAUCUAUACUUAGAUAAGGCAUGCUUAAAUAAAUAAAUAAAUUUUGUAACUGGACA